AAAAAGACAAACCCUAGGUUUUCGUGUCCAACUUUAACUGUCCGUCUUAUAAGAAAUUUUUUUAUAAUUCGUAUUUUCAUUGUUGUUAGAUGAUAAAACAUGAUUAAUAUUUUAUGUGUGACUUGUCUUUUUAAUUAUUUUUAUAUUUUUUUUAAAUAAGACGGACGGUCAAACGUUAGACACGGAAAUCAGGAUUUAUC
rnacentral:pre_miRNA from 1 species